AUACGGAGGGUGCAAGCGUUGUUCGGAAUUACUGGGCGUAAAGCGCGUGCAGGCGGGUAGGCAAGUCUGAUGUGAAAGCCCUGGGCUCAACCUGGGAAGUGCAUUGGAAACUGGGAGACUUGAGUACGGGAGAGGAGAGUGGAAUUCCUAGUGUAGGAGUGAAAUCCGUAGAUAUUAGGAGGAACACCGGUGGCGAAGGCGGCUACCUGGACCGAUAUUGACGCUGAGACGCGAAAGCGUGGGGAGC
rnacentral:rRNA from 1 species